UGGGAAUGAGAAACAACUUCAUUCAACUUAACCAAAAAAAAGUACAAACAACAUAUAAUUAUGUACAAUAAUCACUUCUCAUAACCUUCAAAGACCAUUUUCUACAUGGCAAUAUCAACAAGAACUAGAUAUUCAAGAAGAAAAAAGAAAAUAGGGAAAUCAAGUACAACCCCAUGUAACAAAAAGAUGCUUAAUUUUCCUCUUAAUCACACCACUAAUCAUAAUAAUUAUCGGAAAAUUUGCUCUUAAUCCACUUGAAACUGUUCCUCAAAGAUGUUUUAAGCUUACCUUCCAUAGAAUACAUGUUAUAACUAGCUAUCCUUCUCUUCCUCUUCCCCUCCGGAUUUUCGCCCGGUCCAUUAAAACUUCUUCUACUUGAGACUUUGUUCGAUCCUCGAAAUCAAAUCUUGCUUCUGUAUAAGAUGCAGAAUGAUAAGGGAAAGAUUUGCUCUUCUCCAUUAUCAAGAAAAUAGAGAGCUCAAUAGGGUUGUUAAUUAGCAGAAGAAGAAGGAAGUGUAUAUAUAUAUAAUUAUAUAUAUAUUCUACUUAUUUAGAAGGGGGAGUUGAGGUGCUCUUCGUCGUCCUCUUUGGGCUAUUUUUGGAAUUCCAAUCCCUGCUUCGGGGUUAUUUUUGGAAAUCUGUCCUCUAAGUGGCUUAAACCUUUUCUCGUGUACAUCCUUUUUGUUCAACACGGUUUUUGCUAUUCGAGAGUUCUGAUUGAAUUGAACUCAAGCCCAAGUUGCUUCCACUAUAACUCUUCACACCAAACUCCAAAGCAAGACUGGAGAAGAUGACGAUUUGUAAUAAGAUGUUUGCCGCGUCUAUCAGGUGUUGAGGUGUACUUUGCUUUGUCAAACACGUGGUGUGCAAUUCUUCAAUCUUCCCUUGUGUCUGUGUUGGUCGAUUUUCUUUUUGCGGCUGCUGGGUGAUUCAUUUUUCUUCUGCCUGCCGUUCUCUGUGUUGGCAUUACUGAAACAUAAAAUUAUGAGUUCUGCUGAGAGGUGAGACAUGCUUUUGCUGAAAUUUCAUGUUUGUUGCUGUGUACUACUCUGCUAACAAGUUCGACUUGGUUCUUUUAGCUAGCUUUCUGUUUCAUCUUGAUAAAUCUUAUGGCUUUACUUGGCUUAUUAAAUGACAUAUAACAAACUACAUAUAUUUAAUUAAUGGCAGUUCGAUACUAUAACUCUAUAAGUGAUUUCAGGAUGAGGUGCAUUUUUUUGUUUUAAUACUUAAAAAGCGAUAACCAACUACUUGACAUAUUCUAUUGGGUUCUCCGGACUUUGAUUUGGAUUAAGGCUUGGGAAAUUGGAUAACCGAAGAGAAGUAUGAAAGACAGGGACAUCAGAAAAAGGGGAAGAGACUUUUAUGUCGCGGAAUUGCCGAGAUGGAUGCUGACUUAAAGGGGGUGGUAGGAAAGGAAUUGAGAUUUGGUGAGGUUAGAAAGAUUUGACACUCUGGCUGCUGAAAUGUUGAAGAGGUCGAAUUUUCUUUGUGUGGGCCCCGACAGAUUUAUUUUAUUUUAUUUCAGUUAGCUUUGGUAUAUAUGUUACCGGGAAGAAAAUUAUUAUCACAUGAUAGAUUGGUCAAGUCAUUCCACAGAAAUAAAUUUAGCUUUUAGAACACAAAAGAUUGGUAUGGUCGUGUAACUACAUUAGAUGACGUGAUCGUAGCAACAGAUUUAUCAGCACCUAAUAUGCUUAUGUGUGCUUCCAAAAUUAACAAUGAAACCGAAAAAGAAGAAUAGUUUGCAAGGAGAUACAUGUACUUAAUUGAGAUAGUGCUGGAGAUCUUUUAAAAAGAAAAUGUAAUGGCUACUCCUAAAAAACUACAAUAGUCUUCCAUCCAUGUUGUACUAGAGUAUAUUGCUGAAGUCUUAAGUGUAAUUUACAGGGAAAAAAAUAUGUAUACAUAUCAUUAUGCAAUUUAAAAGAGAGAGAAAAGGCAAAGCUACAAAUAAAACAAAAAGAAAACCUUCAUGAUUGUUUUCAAAAUUUCAUCUUUCUUUCUGCUCGAUGAAAAAGAAUGAUAGUUGUUGUAAACACGU